UGAGUAUUCUAAGGCGCUUGAGAGAACUCAGGAGAAGGAACUCGGCAAAUUGACACCGUAACUUCGGAAGAAGGUGUGCCCUAUUAGUGUGAAGUGAACAACGGAGCAUGAAUGGGUUGCAAAAAAUCGGUGGCUGCGACUGUUUAUUAAAAACACAGCACUCUGCAAACACGAAAGUGGACGUAUAGGGUGUGACGCCUGCCCGGUGCUGGAAGAUUAAAUGAUGGGGUGCAAGCUCUUGAUUGAAGUCCCAGUAAACGGCGGCCGUAACAAUAACGGUCCUAAGGUAGCGAAAUUCCUUGUCGGGUAAGUUCCGACCUGCACGAAUGGCGUAACGAUGGCCACACUGUCUCCUCCUGAGACUCAGCGAAGUUGAAAUGUUUGUGAUGAUGCAAUCUCCCCGCGGAAAGACGGAAAGACCCCAUGAACCUUUACUGUAGCUUUGUAUUGGACUUUGAACAGAUCUGUGUAGGAUAGGUGGGAGGCUUUGAAGCAGGGUCGCUAGAUCUUGUGGAGCCAACGUUGAAAUACCACCCUGGUGUGUUUGAGGUUCUAACCUAGGUCCAUUAUCUGGAUCGGGGACAGUGCAUGGUAGGCAGUUUGACUGGGGCGGUCUCCUCCCAAAGCGUAACGGAGGAGUUCGAAGGUACGCUAGUUACGGUCGGACAUCGUGACGAUAGUGCAAUGGCAUAAGCGUGCUUAACUGCGAGACUGACAAGUCGAGCAGAUGCGAAAGCAGGACAUAGUGAUCCGGUGGUUCUGUAUGGAAGGGUCAUCGCUCAACGGAUAAAAGGUACUCUGGGGAUAACAGGCUGAUACCGCCCAAGAGUUCAUAUCGACGGCGGUGUUUGGCACCUCGAUGUCGGCUCAUCUCAUCCUGGGGCUGUAGCCGGUCCCAAGGGUAUGGCUGUUCGCCAUUUAAAGAGGUACGUGAGCUGGGUUUAAAACGUCGUGAGACAGUUUGGUCCCUAUCUUCCGUGGGCGCUGCAGAUUUGAGGAAGCCUGCUCCUAGUACGAGAGGACCGGAGUGGACACACCUCUGGUGUAUCGGUUGUCACGCCAGUGGCAUUGCCGAGUAGCUAAGUGUGGAAGAGAUAACCGCUGAAAGCAUCUAAGCGGGAAACUCGUUUCAAGAUGAGAUCUGCCGGGGCCUUGAGCCCCCUGAAGAGUCGUUCAAGACCAGGACGUUGAUAGGUCAGGUGUGGAAGCGCAGUAAUGCGUUAAGCUAACUGAUACUAAUUGCUCGUGUGGCUUGAACAA
rnacentral:rRNA from 1 species